CAAAACUAUCAAUAUGGUUAUUUUUUAUGAAUUUUUCCAAGAUCAAUUUUAACCAUUUAGGAACUUCUCGAGUAUAAACCAUAAAAUGGUUGAAUAAUUUGACGUCUUUUCAUCGCCAUUUUGGAAGCGACCAAUGGUGCAGCCGAACGCGUUUGUAAAUAUCUAUUUUUCCCCGUAACUCAAUCAAGUUAUCGAGUUUAUCAUAUCGAAUCCGUAGGAAAUCAUGAAAAGGCACCGGAUGGACAUAGCUCCAGGUCCAAUUCAAAAACUAAUUGUAUCGAAACAACCAGCUUGCGAGGAUGCAUUAACGUUACCUGGCCACAACAGCAGCAGACGCAAGAAAAAAAAACAUCAAUAGCUCUACGUGAAAGAUUUUAUGUACCUUACGAAAUCGUGGACUGGAAGAUACAUUAUUUAUGAAAAGAAUGCGUCAGUAGCGCCAGAUGAUUUCAACCGCAACAAACUAAUUAUCUACUGGAACCUUGAAUGACACCAUCAAAACGCUCCAACUAAUCCUCCGUUAGUGCAAUCUAAUAGUUCAGAUCAUCCGACCCUUCCUCCGGCAGCAGCACCAAAGUACACGAGAUCUCCACUUCCGUCACGGCAGAACUUCUGCUACCGCUGGUUGUAAGGCUGUGUUGAGCCUGAGUUUUCUGCUCCCGUUUAAAUAUUUAUUUAUUUUAUAUUUCGGUAAAAAUGUCAUUUAAUUAAAGUGGAAAAAGUAUUAUUUAUAAGAAAUAAAGAAACAAAUACAAAAAACCGUGUUUUUCCUAAUUCCGUACCCUGGGUUCCCAUGGGUCACGGCGGCGGUGUGCAUGCUUGUGAUAAUGAUGGUUUACUAUCAUUGUCCUGAGAGGGUCGUUGCACACAUCUUGUCAAGCAUGGAUCAUAAUAUGACUCAAAUUAGAAGGCGCGAUGGACACCUUUAUUUUCAUUAAAUUAGCGGUAGGUUCAGUGGUGUCCCAAUUUUUCAUGAUCCAUGUUGAUAAGAUGAAUGGGAGUUGAAACACUUGCCCUCCCUUCCGUUGAACAAUGGGAAAAUUUUGCAGUGAAAAUAUCACAAUUUGUUGUCAUAAAGUGAUACUUUUCAAUAGGGCAUAAUCUGUUUGGUAAGGUAGUUAGCUAGUUUAGUUUCAUAGCAUUAGGAUGUUUCAAGUAUUGCUAGGUUAGGUAUAGGUAAUGGUAUUCGCCUCCCCAAUGCUCUAGAAAGUGUGCAUUUGCGGUUUAUGAAUUUCGUUGGCUUAUUCUUAAAUCAAGCAUUUUACAAGAGCUAGAGGCUCAUUGGACGGGAAUGCUGUUUUGACAAAUAUGAUAUUUCACUUUGUAAUACACUUUCGACAUUUGUUUUUAUUUAUUUAUUUACUUUUGGUAGAUUUAUACAUUUUUCGGUUAGGAUUGAAAUUCAUAAAUCGAAGUUUAAAAUAGAAAAUAUGAUUUCGAUAAGCAAGAAUGAGUAGAUAGUUCGGAUCAUUCAUUUCGGGCAUUUAAAAACAGGCACAAGGUUUAUUAGAAUUGAACCCCUAUCGUGUAGAUUGGGUAUUAUAGUUUGUUAGAGAAGUUGUCCACAAUUAGUG